rnacentral:tRNA from 8 species
AGGGGCAUAGUUCAACGGUAGAAUAUCGGUCUCCAAAACCGCGGAUGAGGGUUCGAUUCCUUCUGCCCCUGCCA